UUACAACUACAUUCAAACAUUAUGGCUACCAUUUUUGUUAAGAGAAACUGACCCAACAUAGCUUCAAGGAAACGCAACUGGCUGUAAUUAAACUAACAUGUUACACUUUAAAGGAUGGAAAACGCAGAUUAACACACAAAGUUUCAAAACUUGCUUUGAGCUUACACCAGCAGGGAGCUACAAGACUCGCAACAAACUCAGAGGAAGCACCAUAAUGGUUCACAAUUCCUUUCAUAGAAUAUUGAAAUGAAUACAUAUAUACAGAUUUCAUAACAGAAUCUCCUGCAGUAGUCAUUUAAACUGCAAACACACUUCGGACAACAAUAAAACAAGCAAGAACUGGACCAAAUAGAGGUGACGAAGAACUGGUGGGGCCUAGCGACACAGAAUCAGUAAAAUAAUAACACAGUACCCCCAUGGCUCAAAACAAUCUAGCUCCAGAAGUUUCAAAUGCCGAAAUACUCUAGCAUCUACAACAGAUGGGAUUGAGCAGUUAACAAUGAUCAGGUUCGAACAAAAUCAACAGAUACAGUCCAGAAUACUUAAGAUAUGAACACAUGAACAUGCCGCUUAUUGGAAACUCACUCAGAUGAUGUGCAAUUAGUUAACCCCAACGAAACAAGUGAAAACCAAACAAAUCGAAGUUUAAUAUCCCUAAGCUGCCGAACUAAUUGACCAUCAAAUGAACAGCGAUCAGGAGUAGUCUCAUGGCUUAUUGCAAGUUUAAACUCCACACACAAACAAGAAAUUUUUUCUUUUUUAAAAUAAACUCAUCCCCACAUAUACCAACUUUGAUGCCUACUGGGCAGCCAUAGUAGUAGUGCCAUAUUACUACACAAAUUUCAUGUUUAAUUCUGUUUUAAGAAGUUUAGUGACAAACGUGACAUGCUGAAAACAAACACGAACAACCUCUGAUCCUUUCAACAUGGUGAGCCUCACAGAGCAAAUAUUAUCAAAGGGGAACUUCAACAGAUUCAAGCCAGCAAGAAAUGCGAAAAUGAUCAUGAAAUCAGAGAAAGGGGAAACUCUUCAGUGAAUCAUGUCGAUCACAUUGAGAUCAAGACAGAUGAUACAAGCAGAUUAACUUGAAUAUCGAAGCAUACCAUAUGCGCAGAAGAAGAACAAGAAAAGAUCAUCUUAUGAAUGAUCGUUCUUUAACCACAUGACAAAAAUUCUGACCAAUACCACUUUUAAAAAAACCAACUGUUCAAAUAAGAGAAUGAUUCUGUUUCACGCCUCUAGUAAAUGAGGAAGAUUUCACAAGAACAAAUCACUUAAAAGUCCAGAAAACAAACAUAAUUAGAAUAAACGUCAUAGUUUCAUGCUCGCUUAACCAUCACAAACUGAACAAUUCGUUCAUCUGAAAGCGACGGAACCUUGACUUAAAAUGACAACUCGACACCAAAAUAACAGUUAAAGCAUAGAAAGCAUAGAAAGCAUAGAGGACGACUACUCAAAAGCAACUCUUACAUAUUGAACGUACUCAAGCACAUCAUACCAUUGAUAAGAAAUUCACCAGCAAGAAAUUCAAUCACAGAACAGAAUACCAUUGAACAAAAUCUCACAGUUCAAGAAGCUUUGAAAUAGAGAUGUAGAAGAGAAAAGAAAUUGAACCUGAAAUUUCAAACUCCCUUUAAUAAUUACAGACUCGACAAUACACCUUUCGACUCCAGAUCCUAGCGAGGUUCAGCAGCACAAACAGAGAGGAAUAAAGAAGAACUCAGCUUGAACCAAGAUUUGAACCUUCGAACUCGAACAAUAGCUCCAACAGCAACAAAAAUACAGACCAUUUUUCCUUGCGUUUCUUUCAGAGAAAAACGAUAAAGAAGACUGAAGAAGAACAAAGAAAAGAAAAUUUUGAAGAAAAAGUGACAACUAAACAGAACCUAGAAAUGGACCGAUUUUUCCAACACUUCUCUCCAAAAAAAUUUCUGUGAUUUUUCUGUAUCUUUUAUGUAUACUCUGUACAUUUUCUCCGAUUUUUUUCUAUCUGAAUAUUCUGUAUAUUUUUGUGCAUUCUCUUUCAUACAAGACUUACCUCAUAUAUGUAGCCUUCAAAAGUUCUCGAAUCUUCUCUCAAAAAUCUGAAAUCCUUCAAAUUUUUUGAACGAUUUUUGGACAAAUGGAGGGCCUGGAUCAAUUUUCAUCAAUCCACGGCCCCAAUUAGUCCAGCAAUCGUCCUUCUUGUACGAGAAUCGUGCAAUUUCGGAGAAAAAUUGGUACUCCUCUGACAAAUCCGCUGAGGAUAAGGUGACGUGGAGGGGGAACCAAUGAGCGAACUCGUAAACGAGUUAUGGCGAGUUGGAAACGAGUUUGGGGGGUGAAUCAGUUGAAGAAGAAGAUGAAUAGUAGAGGAUCCGCCUCUGUAUGGUCUCUAGGGUUAGGGAUUUUUGGGGGGAGAUGUUAUAAGGUUGUUUAUAU
rnacentral:lncRNA from 1 species